GAUGAACGCUGGCGGCGUGCCUAAUACAUGCAAGUCGAGCGGACAGACGAUGAGCUUUCUCCUCUGACGUUAGCGGCGGACGGGUGAGUAACACAUGGAUAACCUACCUAUAAUACUGGGAUAACUUCGGGAGACCGGAGCUAAUACCGGAUAAUAUAUUGAACCGCAUGGUUCAGUAGUUAAAGACGGUUUUGCUGUCACUUAUAGAUGGAUCCGCGCCGCAUUAGCUAGUUGGUAAGGUAACGGCUUACCAAGGCGACGAUGCGUAGCCGAUCUGAGAGGAUGAUCAGCCACACUGGAACUGAGACACGGUCCAGACUCCUACGGGAGGCAGCAGUAGGGAAUAUUCGACAAUGGGCGCAAGCCUGAUCCAGCAACGCCGCGUGAGUGAAGAAGGUCUUCGGAUCGUAAAACUCUGUUAUUAGGAAAGAAAAACAGUGUAAGUAAAUACCGCUGUUUUGACGGUACCCAAAGAGAAAGCACCGGCUAACUACGUG
rnacentral:rRNA from 1 species